AGAUCUCUCUUUCUCUUUCUCCUUCCUCCUUUUAAGCAAGGGUUCUCCCUAGCUUUUUAUGGGGUCGCGGUAGUGUAGAAGGGCCGUCGAGAAGGUUCUCUUCUUUCUUAUCAGGUCUCGAAUGGUCGGACCUUAGUUGGUGUCAGGACGAGGUUCUUCUCCUAUUUCUGAUGCAGCCGAUUUCAACUCAGGUUAGGACGAGGUUCCUCCCCUGUUCCUAACAGGGCUGUAGGGGCACAUAUGGGCAUUGCAGGGCCUCUCCCCCC
rnacentral:lncRNA from 1 species